rnacentral:rRNA from 1 species
CAAUAGCGUAUAUUAAAGUUGUUGCGGUUAAAAAGCUCGUAGUUGGAUUUCUGCCGAGGACGACCGGUCCGCCCUCCGGGUGAGUAUCUGGCUCGGCCUGGGCAUCUUCUUGGAGAACGUAGCUGCACUUGGCUGUGUGGUGCGGUAUUCAGGACUUUUACUUUGAGGAAAUUAGAGUGUUUCAAGCAGGCACACGCCUUGAAUACAUUAGCAUGGAAUAAUAAGAUAGGACCUCGGUUCUAUUUUGUUGGUUUCUAGAUCUGAGGUAAUGAUUAAUAGGGAUAGUUGGGGGCAUUCGUAUUUAACUGUCAGAGGUGAAAUCCUUGGAUUUGUUAAAGACGGACUACUGCGAAAGCAUUUGCCAAGGAUGUUUUCAUUGA